rnacentral:lncRNA from 1 species
UUGGAUCUUCCAAGUCCGAGGAAAGAGGCGUAUGUGAAAGGGAUCAUAAGGAAGAUACGGAUGAGUAUGGCAAUGACAACGGCGACAAUUGUGGUAAUGGGAAACCACGAGUUGGGAAGAAAAAACCCAAGAAGAAAAGGGACAAGCUGAAAUGCUUUUUCUGCGACGGUCCACACAUGCUAAAGAAAUGUCUGAUGAAAUCCGCGCUUAGGAAGAAGCCGGUGGGUAAGGCCUUGGGACUUGGUUUGAGCGCA